rnacentral:tRNA from 1 species
GCACACUUAGGAAAGUUGGUCUAAUCCGCCGCACUCAAGGCAUGUUAAUCAUGUGAGAUAUGCGGUGCCUUCGGGCGCGUCAGUUCGAAUCUGACAGUGUGCA